CACAACAAAAAUUCAUAGAAUUAUAAAUUUAGUCCGAUUUCAUUACUAAAUAAAGAGAAGCGGGAACAGAGCAUCUAAAUCCAACAUUUGAAUAUUCAAGACUACAUAACCCAAACUUAAUUUACAGUCAUAACUAUAUUUAUUAAUAGCUUGCAACUAUGCUUCAAGCUUUAUACUUUCAUCCUUCAUUCAUUUAUUCUUUUCCGUUCCUAGCAACCUUAAUUAUCUGAAAAAAAUAUAAAGAGACAAAUGAGCUUUGCGUCUUAGUAAGUAACCAUGCACCACUUAUCGGAUGAAGCAUAAAUUUUUACAUGAUUCAAUGCAUCAUUUGGAAAGUAAAUUUAUAUUAUAAAAUAAAAUAUUUCAUAAAGAUAAUAACAAAUUGUAUCAUAGCAAAGCAAUUAUGUAUGCACAAAUUAUGCAAAUUCGUAAAGCUACAAGUAUAAUUUAAAAUAUUUAUAAUCAUCAAAUAUUUGCCAUUUAUCCAUACUUUCAAUUAGUGGCUCACAGAUUUUUCGCGCUACGGUCACUAUAAUCCAUAAUUGGGUCGUCUUCGUAAUCGACAAAAUAUCAUAAUUUCUGACUAGGAGAUACUGCAACACAGAUUCAUUAGGGUUGACCACAGGCCGAUCAUGGUGUUUGUGAUUAGAUUUGAAUAUAUUUGAACCCUUAGCCUGAUGAGGAUGUCAUGGCUUAAACAGAGGGAGUAUGUGACGAUAUAUGUGGACGUGUGUUUAGUCUCACAUCGAUUAUUCGCUGGGUAAAUCUUGGAUACUUAUACAGAAUUAAGAAAUCCAAAUAAUACCUUCCGGCUAGCUAUUUUGGAUGAGGUCUUAGGUUGUUACAAUACCAAUCUGAGAGCUCAUAAAAAAUCUUAUAUUUUCUUAAAAUAUAUUUUCUUAAAUUUUAUAUGAAUAAGAUGCUAAAUGACUUUACAGAGUUUGUAAUUCAUAUAUAAUCUUUAACAAUAAAACUAUCAUAAAAUUAUUUUCAGUAAAUCAACUAUUUUCAUAAAAGUUCAUAAUUCAUAAUUAGACCCAAUAUGUAUCACCUUCAUAAAAAAAUGCACUUUUUCAUAAUUUUAGAAAUCAUCCAUAUAUAAGUAUCCAUAAGACAAAAAAUAUGGAUCAUAAAACAAUCAUAUACUUGAUCCCAAAUUGCAAAAAAUCAUAUGAAUAUAAUUUAUAUUUUUAUAGUCCAUUAAAAUUGACCAAUAAUUCAAAAUUAGUAAAGUUUGUGCUAGAUCUUAUCUUUGUUCCCCCAAAAAUCAUUAGGUUUAGUUGGGCAAAUCCAUUGCACCUAUCAGAACUAUUUAAUAAGAAUAAAUUACUUGCUAUUCACUAUUUAAAAAAAAAUCUAAAUAUGAAUUUAAAAACUCUAAGGAACCCGAAAUGGAGAAAAGAUGAACCAAGGAUGAGACUUCUCUCUCAAUUUAUUUAUUUAUUUAAUUAUUCUCUCUUCCUUUUUUUCAUUUUCAUUUUCUCUUCCCUUUCUUCCUCUUCUUUCCUCUAUUUGGGAUCACCGUGCCCUGUCUUCGUGCCGCCAAAAUCAUGGUCGCAGCACCUCCUCAGAGCCAAGGUAAGGUCCUUGUCUCCUCCUUUGUUCUUUCUUUUUCUGAUCGACCCAGCAAUGGUGGAAAUCUGGCAAAGGUCAUCGGAUUUACACCAAAAAAAAAGAGAGAAUGCUUACUUGGUGGUCGAUCCGCCAUGCCGCCGGUCCUUGACUAUAGCCGCCGGUCCUCCGGCGGCCCAACGCCUGAAAUUUCUUUCACCUCCAACCAGUCCAAAAUCAUGCAUGUUUGAAGGCCACCCUGUUGGUCUUAAUUGAAUUUUGAUGGCAUUCCACAAACUACGGGCAAAGAAGCAUUUGGUACAUAAAUGAG
rnacentral:lncRNA from 1 species